rnacentral:rRNA from 1 species
AUUGAACGCUGGCGGCAGGCCUAACACAUGCAAGUCGAACGGUAACAGGAAGCAGCUUGCUGCUUUGCUGACGAGUGGCGGACGGGUGAGUAAUGUCUGGGAAACUGCCCGAUGGAGGGGGAUAACUACUGGAAACGGUAGCUAAUACCGCAUAACGUCGCAAGACCAAAGAGGGGGACCUUAGGGCCUCUUGCCAUCGGAUGUGCCCAGAUGGGAUUAGCUAGUAGGUGGGGUAACGGCUCACCUAGGCGACGAUCCCUAGCUGGUCUGAGAGGAUGACCAGCCACACUGGAACUGAGACACGGUCCAGACUCCUACGGGAGGCAGCAGUGGGGAAUAUUGCACAAUGGGCGCAAGCCUGAUGCAGCCAUGCCGCGUGUAUGAAGAAGGCCUUCGGGUUGUAAAGUACUUUCAGCGGGGAGGAAGGGAGUAAAGUUAAUACCUUUGCUCAUUGACGUUACCCGCAGAGGAAGCACCGGCUAACUCCGUG